rnacentral:lncRNA from 1 species
UAUAUGUGUAUAUAUAUGUAUAGCAGGUGCAGGUAGGCAAGCUGACAGUCCCCCUUCUUAGGAUCGCUGAUCCGCGAGAGUUGGCGUGCUCCACUUGAUCCGGAGCUGCUUUGAUUUUGGUACGAUACGUUUGUGUGUGUGUGUAUAUAUAUAUGUAUAUACAUAUGUAUAUGUAUAUGUAUAUACAUAUGUAUAUACCUAUGUAUAUAGGUAUGAUGUGGCUCAGUCCCGUCUUUGUACAAUUAUGUUUCUAUUAGAGGUCUGUAGACAAUAUGUCUAGUUGGAUUGUAUGUGGCCUUGUCGGCUUUCAAUUUUGGAUGUAUAGUUGUUUAUAGCAGCCUUGCCGACUUGCCCACUGUAUCCUGCAUGUAUACGUACAUAUACCUUGUUGGCAGAUUUCUUUCAUGUAU